UACGAAGGGUGCAAGCGUUACUCGGAAUUACUGGGCGUAAAGCGUGCGUAGGUGGUGAGUUAAGUCUGUCGUGAAAGCCCCGGGCUCAACCUGGGAAUGGACGAUUGGAUACUGGCUCGCUAGAGUGCGGUAGAGGAGAGUGGAAUUCCCGGUGUAGCAGUGAAAUGCGUAGAGAUCGGGAGGAACAUCAGUUGCGAAGGCGGCUCUCUGGACCAGCACUGACACUGAGGCACGGAAAGCGUGGGGAGCAAACAGG
rnacentral:rRNA from 1 species